AGCUCUCCUAAAGUUGCCUUAGAAGGUGCUACAGCAAUGCAUUGUAAGGGAUGCGUUUAAUGGUUCCUGAAUGAUACACCUUACAGGAAGAAGCUGCCCCUUUCUCAAUAAUACAGUCUUAUAAUAGUCUUCGUAAAUUAGAAGAAAUAGUUUUAAAAGGCAGAACUCUGUAGGUAAAGAAAAUUGAGUGGUCUAAAUGCUUCACUACUCCAUACAUGGGUAUAGUGGAAACAUUUCACUGCCUGCUAGCCCACUGCCACCACCGCUGGCUUCUCAGUUUUAGUCUUCGAGGCUCACCUGAACUUGGCACGCUCUGUGUUAGAUUACUCAACCUGUCUGCCCCACAGAAACUCACCUCCCUAACUGCUGCGUGCUGCUUUCUCUUUUCGAGAGUUGGACUACACCCAAAGCCACUGUCAAAUGUCAUGGGGAUGAGACUUCACGAGGAGAUAUUGGAGACUUUAAUCAAGAGGAUUCUUGAAACAUGACCACCUGACAGUUGGAAGACAGUUUUCCACCCCAUAAAGGGUGAUAUCUAAAAUCUUCACCAGCCAUGCUGUACAAGAAACGACCCAUCUGAACGGAUAUUCCACUGAUCAUAAGGAACACCAUACUGCAAGCCAUUAAAGAGGCAGCAGCUACCCAGAGCAUGGAGAGUGGCCCUGCCGAGCUCCUUCUCCAGGAACUAUACUCAGCAUCUCAGCCUCAAGUCACCAUGGUUUUGAAUUGUGUCUGUGAGCAUCUGUUCUUUAUCUCUAUUUAUUUUGUGCAUUGUUGGCAAGAUGUGUUCAUUUGAGCUUACAAAAGAUUUCACAGGGAUGCUCUACUUUUAGAUACCAAUAGAAGGUAAACCUGUGUACAAAAAGACAACCCCACAAUUAACAUCAUACUUAAUGGUGAAAGACUAAAAACUUUAAUAAGAUCAGAAACAAAAUAAGGAUGUUUGUUCUUAUCACUUCUAUUAAACAUUGUAUUAGAGGUUCUUUUCAGACAAGAAUGAAAAGUAAAAAGCUUUCUUUAUGCUAAAUGAAAUAAGUCAGACAGAAUAAGACAAAUACCAUAUGAUUUCACUCUUUGUGGAAUCUAAAAAACAAAUAAAAUGGAAACAAGUUCAUAGACUCGUAGAUAGGAUACAUAGAGAACAAACUGGUGGUCAUCAGAGGGGAUAGGGGUAUGUGGACAAACAAAAUAGGUAAUUAAAAGGUACAAACUUCCAGCUACAAAAAUAAAUAAGCCACGGGGGUAUAAUGUAUAUAUAGGGAAUAGGGUCAAUAAUAUUGUAACAACUUUGGCAAUGGAUGGUAACUGGACUUACUGUGGCGAUUAUUUUACAAUGUUUAAAAAUAUUGAAUCAUAGCUCCUGUUGUGGUUUAGCAGUUUAAGAACCUAACAUUGUGUCCUUGAGAAGGGUUUGAUAUCUGGCCUCACUCAGUGUCUUAAAGAUCUGGCAUUCCCACAAGCUGUGGUAUUGCACACCAGAGAUGUGGAUCAGAUCACACAGCAACACUGGAUAUGCCAAAGGUAUAGGCUUAAAAAGAAAAUAUAUAUAUAUUGAAUCAUUUUGUACACCU